AUUGAACGCUGGCGGCAGGCCUAACACAUGCAAGUCGAACGAGUGGCGGACGGGUGAGUAAUGUCUGGGAAACUGCCUGAUGGAGGGGGAUAACUACUGGAAACGGUAGCUAAUACCGCAUACCCUCAGAUGUGCCCAGAUGGGAUUAGCUAGUGGGUGGGGUAAAGGCUCACCAAGGCGACGAUCCCUAGCUGGUAUGAGAGGAUGACCCGCCACACUGGAACUGCGACACGGUCCAGACGCCUACGGGAGGCAGCCUUGGGGAAUAUUGCACAAUGGGCGCAAGCCUGAUGCAGCAAUGCCGCGUGUAUGAAGAAGGCCUUCGGGUUGUAAAGUACUGUCAGCGGGGAGGCGUUACCCGCAGAAGAAGCACCGGCUAACUCCGUGCCAGCAGCCGCGGUAAUUC
rnacentral:rRNA from 1 species